CAUCCCGCUAACCCCGCCCCUCUGCAGAGAGAACGGGAGCUCCAUUCAAACAAACCGAAUCUCCGGGAUGCGACAGUAAAGAGAGAGACAAGAACACAGGAGACACACACUUACACACACACACCGUGUACCGGAGAGCAGAGCACCGACACAUACACACACACACACACACACACACACACACAGCCGCAGACACACAACACACACACUCUGAGCAGCAGGAGGCUAACGGCUAACAGCUAACAUGGCGAGCGCCUCGUACCACAUCUCCAACCUGCUGGAGAAAAUGACUUCCAGCGACAAGGACUUCAGGUUCAUGGCCACCAACGACCUGAUGACGGAGCUACAGAAAGAUUCAAUCAAACUGGACGACGACAGCGAGAGGAAGGUGGUCAGGAUGAUCCUCAAACUGCUGGAAGAUAAGAACGGAGAGGUCCAGAAUCUGGCCGUCAA